rnacentral:rRNA from 1 species
GACGAACGCUGGCGGCGUGCCUACUACAUGCAAGUAGGACGCAGUUGCGAACGGGUGAGUAACGCGUAGGUAACUACCUCUUAGAGGGGGAUAACUAUUGGAAACGAUAGCUAAUACCGCAUACUAGUAGAUGGACCUGCGUUGUAUUAGCUAGUAGGUAGGGUAAUGGCAUACCUAGGCAACGAUACAUAGCCGACUUGAGAAGGGGAGCGGGAACCAUGGGGACGAGGAAAGGCCCCGACGCCGACGGGAGGCAGCAGGAGGGAAACUGCGGCAAGAGGGGGAAACCUGACCCAGUCACGCCGCGGGGGUGAAUAAGGUUUUCGGAUCGGAAAACUCUGGUGGUAAGGAAGCGGUACUUAACCAGAAAGGGACGGCUAACUACGUGCCAGCAGCCGCGGUAAUUC